AGAACGAACGCUGGCGGCAUGCCUAACACAUGCAAGUCGAACGCUUCACCGGUUUCGGCCGGUGGGGAGUGGCGCACGGGUGAGUAGCGCGUGGGAACCUGCCCUGUUGUGGGGGAUAACCGAGGGAAACUUCGGCUAAUACCGCAUAAGCCGGUUGUCUUGAAAGAGAUGGCCGGGAAAGAUUUAUCGCGACAGGAGGGGCCCGCGUCGGAUUAGCUAGUUGGUGGGGUAACGGCCCACCAAGGCAGUGAUCCGUAGCUGGUCUGAGAGGAUGAUCAGCCACACUGGGACUGAGACACGGCCCAGACUCCUACGGGAGGCAGCAGUGGGGAAUAUUGGACAAUGGGCGCAAGCCUGAUCCAGCAAUGCCGCGUGAGUGAUGAAGGCCUUAGGGUUGUAAAGCUCUUUCGCCCGCGACGAUGAUGACGGUAGCGGGAGAAGAAGCCCGGCUAACUCGCGCCAGCAGCCGCGGUAA
rnacentral:rRNA from 1 species